AGGGCAUGGGCGCAGCCUGAUGGAGCACACCGCGUGAGUGAAGAAGGGUUUCGGCUCGUAAAACUCUGUUGUUGGAGAAGAACGUGCGUAAGAGUAACUGUUUACGCAGUGACGGUAUCCAACCAGAAAGUCACGGCUAACUACGUGCCAGCAGCCGCGGUAAUACGUAGGUGGCAAGCGUUAUCCGGAUUUAUUGGGCGUAAAGCGAGCGCAGGCGGUUGCUUAGGUCUGAUGUGAAAGCCUUCGGCUUAACCGAAGAAGUGCAUCGGAAACCGGGCGACUUGAGUGCAGAAGAGGACAGUGGAACUCCAUGUGUAGCGGUGGAAUGCGUAUAUAUAUGGAAGAACACCAGUGGCGAAGGCGGCUGUCUGGUCUGCAACUGACGCUGAGGCUCGAAAGCAUGGGUAGCGAACAGGAUUAGAUACCCAAUGUAGUCCAA
rnacentral:rRNA from 1 species